CCCGCGUUCCCGGCAUGCUCCAGGGCGGCGGGGUUGGCUCUAACGAAUUUGAAUGAGGAGCCUCAGCGCUUUCGGCGCCAUUUUCGAGUGAUGCCUGAUCUCAUCAAUCUAGCGGGAGAGACGGGAUAACCUGUCCGAGAGUAUAGCACCACUAAGACCACGCCGAAAAAUCACUAAAAAAAUCACCAAAAAUAACUUACAGGAAAGAGCAGGCCGCGGAACUUGGCCAGCGUUGGCGCAGUCGGUUUUGACCUUUAAGAGAGCCAAUUCUGGAAAACAACCAAACUUCUUUGAUUGAAUACUCACAUGCGUUGGAACAUGAUUAGGAGAUUAAGGUAUCUUUCACUUGGCCUUAAUGAGUUAAAUGAAGAAAAAGAAACACCAUGAGUUAUAUUGUUUAAUAAUAAAAUGAAGACCAUAGUAAAACAGCCUCCUUCUUAGCCCAGCAAUUCUUAUUUUUCAAUCAGACUUGAAAGAAGAGAUUGAAGGCAUAGUGGCACUUUGAUAUUUCCAAUGGAGCAGGAUACAAGAAUGAAGAAAUGGCACAGGAUAUACCAGGAAAAGAUUGCCACAUAGCUAGUCCGGUUUGAAUGAAAAGAUAAGUAUGAAAGUUAAAUCAACUGUUCACUCAGCAUAGUACUCAAUAUUAAGAACAGUUGUCUAUGUUCAAAAGUUUGUAGUGAGUGCAAAUUAAGUAUUAGCUAGAAAAUUUGAAAUGUAAAUCCAUCAGAGAUAAUAGAUUUAAAUUGUUCCUGGGCUGGGGAUUUAGCUCAGUGGUUCCACUACCUGCCUACAAGUGCAAGGUCCCGAGUUCGAUCCCUGGUACCAAAAAAAAAGAAAUAGUAAAAAAAUAAAUUGUUCUUUAAAGUAGAGAUAAAUACAAAGGGGAUUAAUAGGUAUUUUAACCUCCAAAAGUAGCCUUAUUGAAAAAUCAAAGUUUGAGUAGGCAUCGAUACAGAUUAGGGGAGAAAAGAACUAGAAAAUAAUUCGUUGUAAGCAUCUCCAUUCUUCAGGGUGCCUUGAAGAGUCAUGCACUCAGAGAGGAUAAUCACUGCAUUGAAAAUGAUUAUAAUUUAUUUGUUCUACUUGCUACUUACCUGGUGACCAGAGGAGUAUCAUGCUUGGUCAGUCUUGCUAUCCAUUUACAACUAUUUUAUUAUGCUAAGAGCUCUUUCUUAAUAUAUAAUCACCAUACUUACAACGCACUAACAUAAUAAUCCCUUGCUGUAGUCAUACCAGUUUCUUUUGAACUCCUGAUUGUUUCAGAAAAAUGAACCUUCCAUUUGGAUUUAUUUUUCUUUUCUACACAAUCUCACUAAGUUUCCCAGGCUGGUCGCAAACUUGGGAUCUUCCUGAAUAGCUGGAAUUACAGCCAUGUGCCAUACAUAUUGCAUUCGGUUUUCAUGAUUCUUAAAAGAGAACUUUUAAAUGGAGUGAUAGUGUUUCCAUUGGAGAGAGAUGAAAUUGGAUAGAUUCUGAUUAUAUAGUCCUUGAUACUUUGGCAAAAAAAAAAUAUAUAUAUAUAUAGGCUGUACUUAGAAAAUCAGGUACAGAAUGUGAAAAUGUGAAUUUUAGGAAGUUUCUAUGACUAAACAUAGAGGCCAGCUGAAAAUGCAUUGUAGCUUAUAAGGUACUUAGGCCUAAUUUAAAAGUAUAAAAUUAACAGUGUCAAACCAGUAGUUGAACUGAAAUCUCAAAACAGAUCAAUUGGUUUUGCUGGCUAAUUGAAUACAAGAAAUGAUUAGCACAGGACAAAAACUGAAUGUGAAGAGAGGAUGACAGUGGGCAAGUUUUCCUAGUUAGGACACAAAAGGGAACAAAAGAAAGUACCUGUGAUAAAAAUGUGAUGGUAAAUAGCAUAUUAUGUUCUUAUCAAAUGGCACUUCUUGACUGAACAGUAUGUUCAUAAUUUAGUCAUGUCUGAGAAGUAAAAAGUCAUCAAAACUGUUUUUAAGCCGGGGAUUUAGGUCAGUGGUUCCGCCGCCUGCCUCGCAAGCACAAGGUCCCAAGUUCAAUCCCCUGUACAAAAAAAAAAAAAUGUUUUUAAAUAUAUGUUUGUCUUCUAAGUAGUUUUAACUUUGUAUAUAAGGAAACUUAAGAAAUCAAAGUGAUAACUUUAUUUGGAGCUUAUGUCUGUAAACUUUCUGGAAUAAACCCUUGAUUGAAAUCCACUUCAUAAUUAGUUUUUAAACCAUCAUUCAUUGUUCAUUUCUCCAGAAGAAAUCAAAGGGGGUGUAGAAAUACAAUGUAAAACCUUGUAUUUAGUAAAACUCAAAAUCUACGUUAUUUUUUGGAUUAUGUCUGAACAUUAUUUUACUGCAUGCCUGUAUUCUCAACACUGAAUUUUAAAAGAACUUUCUCUAUUUAAUCCAGGCUCUGUUCUGUUUUUUGUUUGUUUGGACGGUUGGUUAUCUUUUUUUUAUCAUUUUUUAUUUUGAGACAGGGCCUCACUAAAUUUCCCAGGUUACACUAGAACUUGGAAUGUUCCUACCUCAGCCACCCCAAGUGCUGGGAGUACAGGUGUGGUACUGCUGUGCCCAGCUACAUAGCCUUUUUAUUUUUAAGCAUUUAUAUCUAAGAAGCAAAAGAAAAUUUUAAUAUGAUCCUGUAAAGUUUAUUUGGACAUUUAUAAUAGAAUAAUGAAAAAAUUACCAUAUUAGUGAAAUUGUUUUAGCUAUGCCUCCUUAGAUCCUUCCUUAAAGAUACAUAUAAGAGCUUUUAAAUUUUUCUUUCGGAUAUAUUACUGACAUAUCACUUGAACAUUAUUCCAUAUAUAUCCCCUGCCCCCACCAUACAUGUGUCUUUUUUUUUUUUUUUCAUUUUGCUGUACUGGGGAAUUGAACUCAUGGACAUUCUACCACUAAGAUACAUGCCUAGCCCUUUUAUUUUGUGACAAGUUCUUGCUAAAUUACUCUGGCUAGGCUCAAAGCUUGGGAUUCUCCUCUAAAUUAUCUGGGAUUACAGGCAUACACCACUGUGCCUGGCAAUCCACUCUUAAGCAAAGAUAAUCAUUCUGUGUUUCAGUGGCUAUACAUAGUGAGUAUAGAGGAACACAGUAUAAAGCUUCACAGGCAAAAUGUGAAGCAUGUUGAGUAGUAAUCACUAUUAUUGAGUUGAUGCUAAAUUGAGUAAAAUUAAGUAUUCAAAUUAAUAUAGUGACAUACAACCAUAUGUCAAACUAGCAGGAAAAUCUUCAUGCCAUGUAUUAGCACCUGAAUAUCCUUGUUAAGUGACAGUGGAGACAGUUUAGUUUAAACUUGUAGAUCCAAAAGAAACUUAUUAAAAUAGUCCCUUAUUGAGGCAUAGAAUGAAACUACCUUUGAUAACUAUAAUGCUAGAAGAUAAAUAGAAAGGAAAAAAAAAUUAAACCUUACCACACUGGGAAGAGAUUACUAUUGCUGUUGCACACUAGAAAGAAAUGUACCUUCCAGUCUGCCUGAAAUUCCUCCACUGAACCUUUCACUUUGUUAAUACCUUUAAAUAAAAAAUUUCCACAUUUUUCAAGAGUAGGAACGAAUUUUUUCUAAUAGUUUAUGGUUUUCAAAUAAAAGUUAUUUUAACUAUCUCAGUUAAAAAUUGAAGUUAAAUUUAAAUAGGAGAAAAUCUUUCUCUGAGGUUGUUAAAACAAAAUUAUAGUAUUACAAUGUUUUAUUAAUAUUUUUGAAGAAGCUUAAAAUUCUUUAAUGUAAUUGAAAGAAACAAAUAAAUGUUAUUUCUCAAGUCAUUGCAAUAGAUCUAUCUUGGCUACAUGUUACAAACUGCUAUCUGGGGGUAGUGGCACACACUAGUAAUCCCAGAUAAUUGGGAAGCUGAGGCAGGAGGAUCCCAAGCUUGAGGCCAUCUUGGUCAACUUAGUAAAACUUUGUCUCAAAAUAAAGAGGGCUGGGAAUAUAGUUCAGCAGUUGAAUCCCUUCUUUUGAAGCCUUUGUGCCAUAAAUACAUAUAUACAUACUGAAACUUGACAGUAGUAGAGAAAUAUGUGAAGCACUGGUUGCUCAGAUACAGGAAUAGCUAUAUGUACUUUUUUUUUUGUACCGGAAAUCGAACUCGGGACCUUACACUUGCAAGGCAGGCACCAGAACCACUGAGCUAAAUCCCCAGCCCUAUAUGUACUUUUUAAUAAAGAGGAAAGUACAAUACAUUAAUGUGGAAUUCUAUGUCUGUGCCUUGUAUAAAUAAUUAGAUAUACUAGAAGGACAAAUUUUGUUGCUUUGGUUAUACAUAUCAUCUUUUUAUACUAUAAUAGAAAUAGUGAAGAUUUUUAAAAGCCAUUUUAAUAAGAAAGCUGAGACAAAAAUGGUUGUUGAGCUUUGAGCUAGAGUAGUGAUGGUUUUCUGGUUUCUUUUGGAGAGAGGUCAUUUCUACAUCUAAGUGGAAACAAGGAGUGUACUCCCUUUCCUGCUGAAUAGAUUGAAUGGGAUAGACAAGACAUAGGAAGAAUGAGAGGCAUAGACUUUCUCUCUUUCGUAUUUCCUUUCACAAUAUUAACGUAUCAUUCCAAGGCUUCAUAAUCUAGAUAUGUAACUCAGAAUAACCAUUCUAAUGGAGAUAAAUGUUUAGAGUUAAUAUGUAGAUUUUUAUAACAUCUAAGGGAAAAUUGAUUUGUUUAAAGCUUUUGUAUAUUUUUACUACAUUUUGUAUUAAUAUAUUUCAUGUGGCUUCUGGUCUAUUUCUUUAAAAAUACAUUUGCAUUUUGCUAGCCUAAGUUUAUUGAAACUGUACUCUUGUAUUUCAUUUCAUGUUUUUCCCUUGAUAUAAAGUCUUACCUGUCUUGAUGAAGAUGUCUUUUGAGAUGUAUACAAGGAACAAAAUGCUCUUUGUAAAUUCUGCUCUUAAUAAGGUGUCAAACCCUGGGCCUUGAACAUGCUAACCAAGCACUAUACCACCGAGCUACUCCCCCAGCUCUUUUUUUUUUUUUAAGGCUGUGUGCAGUGAAAAAAAUUUGACAAAUGUUUAGACCUUUUAUGUUAAAAUAACUGUAUAAAAUAACGUUACUUGCUGAGUUCAUGUGUGUAUGUGGUGUUUCUGUGACACAAGGCACUGGCUGAGGAUUGAAUCCAGGGCCUUUACAAUUAGCAACAUCCCCAGGUAGCCCCAACCCCCUUUUUGAGACAGAGUCUUAAGUUGGUAAGUUGCCUGGACUAGACUCAUACUUGUGAUCCUCCUGCCUUAGCCUCCCUGAGUGAUGUGAUUUCAGGUAUGCACCACCAUACCCAGCUCCCUGUACUUCUUAGGAACAGCCUUAACAAUUGUAUGUGCCUCAGCCUACUUGACCUUUGCAGAUAAGACAGUAUUUUUAUGAAUAUGAUUCAAGAUUAAAACAUCCAUCUGAGACCGUUUAGAGUCCAAAGAAAAUGUUUGAAUGGGUGGUUAAUAGGUUUGUAUGUAAUGAUAAUGGUAGUUAAUAGAUAUGUGUGUAAUGGUCAGGCUUUUAUGAAUUUACUAGUGACUCUGAAAUUGUUUUUCACUUGAUCAGCUUAGCUGAGUCCAAGUUAACAGUUCCAAGAGGCACUCAAAUUUGUUCAUGUCUGUCAUCUACCAGUCUUCUGUUUCGUGUUUUGUUUUAUUUUUUGAGGCAGGGUCUCAUUACAUAGUUCAAAAGCAAUUCUUUGUCUCUGUUUAAGUCUUAACAUUUUCAUCUAUAAUAUAUAUAUACCACUAAUUUAAUCUUUUAAAACACUUUUUUCCGGGCCAGGGAUUUAGCUCAGUGGUUUUGCCGCCUGCUGUGCAAGCACAAGGACCCAAGUUUGAUUCCCGGUACCAAAAAAACCCCAAAAAAACACUUUUUUCCUACAUGAUAAAACUCACACUCCUUAGCUUGAUACUUCAUGGUGUUGCUUUAGCCUUUUCUAAAUUGUUGAGUUUUCUUCAAAUGGACUAGAUAUAGUCCAUUUUUCCUUCUCUGUGCCUUUAUCCCAUUUCACCACUUUAGUUCUCCCUUAGUUAAUUUUGGUAUACUCUUUGAAAUAAGGCAAAAUCUUUCAUAUGGCAACACACCCAGUACUAAAGGUUUAACCAAUGGGUAUACUUAGCUACAACCCCAGCCUUCUUUUUAAAUUUUUAAAUGGGAUCUCACUAAGUUGCUCAGGCUGGCUUCAAGCUUCCAAUUUUUUGGCUUCCUGAGUAGCUGGAAUUAGACCAAUGCUUUACCAUACCUGGCAUAUCUUGUUCUUAAUGUUUUUGUCUACCUCAGCUCACCUAAGGGAUAUAACACUUGUUUUAUUAAUUAAGCCUCUUUCAUUUACACAUACCUUUCAGAUGUAUUAGUAAUAUGGAUAAAAAUUUUAAAAGAAACAAUGAAAAAAAGCAAGUGGACUAAGACAUCCAGAACUUCAUACAAAACACCAUACAAAAAAUUAUCAGAUUCCAAAGUUCGAAUAUUUUGACAAGUGAUCUAGUUGGGGUUUUUUUGUAUAGUUAUGUAUGAACCAGCUAUAGUAUAUUUUAUGAUUUUCAGCUUAAUAAAUACCCUUGUAAGCAGGAAUCCAUGUAUUUAUUGUAAGGUUUAUAAAAAAUUGGAAAAAUUUUAAGUGUCCAGUAAUAGGCUGAUUAACAUGCUCAGAAGAAUAUUGUAGAAGUGCUUAAAAUAUGUAAGUGAAUAUUUAAUAAGUUAAAACUUGCCUAUCAUUAGAUUGAAGAUGUAGCUCAGUGGUAGAAUGCCUAAGCAUCACCAAAAAUUGAAGUGAAUAAAGGUUAUCAAUACACAUAUUCACUAGAAUAAGUUUACUUGGAUAAGAGAUAAAUCUUACUGGGAUGAAAGGGAUCUUAAUUACUUCUUGAGUUCUUGGUUGAGAGGUUUCGCUUUCUGUACUUUUUGCAUUAAAAUUCUUAAAAAGUUCUAAGAUUUCGUAGCAUAAAAGUAAAAAAUCUGUUUAAAAAAUAACAGUCUUAACCAAACACAGCUAUGGUUCUUAGCCUUAUACUCUUCUAAUUGGAUGUCUAAAUUAGUGAUUUUUGCAGUGCUUGAGAUUGAACCCUGGACCUCAAAAGUAGUAGGCAAGUUUUCUACAUCCCCAGCCCUUUUUCUUAAUAUAGUUAAUUUACUGUACGACUGAUAAGAAAGAACAUCUAUCUAUUAGAAAAGAGAUGUGAAGAUACACUUCUGGCUUGGAUUUUUAAAUUUUUAUCUAAAACCUUUUUAUAUCUAAUGUAAUUAGUGUUAUUAAAAACAGUUUAAAUUAAUUUUUCUCAAUACUUUAAUAAAUUUGAAAGGUAAAGAAAGAUACAUCUUAUUUAUCCUGUGGCUUUUUCCUUUGUCAUACCUACAUAU